rnacentral:rRNA from 1 species
UUAAAUUGAAGAGUUUGAUCAUGGCUCAGAUUGAACGCUGGCGGCAGGCCUAACACAUGCAAGUCGAGCGGAAACGAGUUAUCUGAACCUUCGGGGAACGAUAACGGCGUCGAGCGGCGGACGGGUGAGUAAUGCCUAGGAAAUUGCCCUGAUGUGGGGGAUAACCAUUGGAAA